GUUGCCUUGUGGCUGUCCCAGGAGCCACGGUGGCAGUUGGAGUUGAUGCACAGGAAGCAUGAGGAAGGCCAGGCUCCGGGGGCUGCUCUGGAUGCUGUUCGUCUCAGAACUCCAAGUUGCGGCUGAAGAAAAGAAGACCCUAAAAGAGGGACAGACCCUAAGCCUGGACUGUGUCUACACCAAGAAGUACUCCUACAGCCAGAAGGCUUGGCAGAGGGUGACGGAUGGAGGCAAGGUCGAGACGCUGGCAAUCACAAACAGAACUUCAAGGAAGAGCAGUCAAGAGCCCGGGGGGAGGUACUUCCUAGAAGACGAUUCCGUGUCGUCCGCAGUGCGCGUCCGAAUGACCAACGUUCAAGUGAGUGACUCUGGACGAUAUCAGUGUGUGAUCUACCUACCUCACAGUGACCCUGAAAUCCUCAGCUCUGUCCACCUGGUGGUGACCAAGGGUUCUUCAGCGACCCCUGUCCCAGGCAAGACUCCUACCCAGAACCGGGCUCAGAUUCCCACCCAUCCUCCUACCACCACUGAGGCCCAGAACAAGUUCCACACCAGCCCCAGGAUAGUGACCCAAGGCCCGCCCAAGUCAACUGCUGGCGUCUCCCCUCCUGGGCUUGGAGUCAACCCCACAAAUAUGACAUACAUCACCAGGUGAUGGAAUAGCUGAGACCACAAUGGUGAGGCACUUCAGAAGAAGCCAUUGUCACCCUGUCUUUGGUCUUUGCUUAGGGCCAGCCCCAGGGGCACACGAAUUCCCAGCCCUGCAGGAGUCUGGCAGCCUGUGUGAAGCCUGGGAAUAGGAUGCCUGCUGGCCCUUGAGAGUGGGCGGACCCCAGGAGCUUCGUGCUUGAAAUAUUAAGGGACUGGGAGGGGAUAAGGCCGGGCACUGGCAGGAGGGACUUGCAGGAGGUGGAGUUAGCAGAUCCCAGAGCUGGGACCUUCUCAAAGCCGGGCUCGAACCUGGUCACUGCCCGCACCUCGGAGGGUGCUGUUGCAACUGCGAGGGGCGCGAGAGCGUUGGUUUGCGGGCCCCUGGCCCCGUCCCCCAACAGAGCCACUGGAGGCUGAACUCGACCAGGCCGCCUCCGACACCUAGGCCGGGUGAAACAGGACAGCGCUGGAGGCCGGGGGUGGAUUUCAGUGCUAACGGGCCGCCUGCUGCUUUCUAUCCCACUUAUGUCCUUUGUCCCUUUGCUAGUUUGUGCCUGUGCGGUUAAGUUUUGUGUAGGCAAAUGUGUUGAUUUUAAAAUUACUGCUUCGCUUUGUUCCUUACGUGUGCUUGAUUCUAUUUCCUGGUGACUUUUCUCUCUCUCGCUCUGUUUUUUUUUCAUUUUAUCCAAAUCUUUCGUCCAUCUUGGGGAGAGGAGUUAUUUUGCUGUAUGGUAAAAUUGUGGAAAAGAUGAUUUUUUUCUUCAUAUUGCUACCCAGGUACCACAAGACUAUUUACUAAACAAUCUUUGCUGAUUUCCUCAGGUGUUAAAUUCUUAUGUAACUUGAGCUCUAAAUCUGAACUUCUGUAUGUUUCACUGCUGCCUGUUUCUCUUUUCGCUCCUGUGUCUCAUCAUACAGAUUAGUUGUGCAAUCACCUAUUCCAUUUCUCCUGAGUCUGGGCAGGCCAAGCUUCCUCACUCACUUCUAUCCCUUUCUUACUGCCGUUUACCCAGGACUUUUAGAAUCAUUUCGCUAAAAUCUAUAAUAAUUCAUGACGGGAUUUUGACCAGAAUUAGAUCCUUCUUAGUUAGAUGUGGAAACUGAGGCCAAAGAGGUGAGAUGACUCUCCCGGGAAGUAGGUCACGAUGCUGAGCGUAGAAACCAGGUUUCCUGGCUCUGGGACCCCUGUACUCAUGACUUCUACUUGUCACCAUGGAGGAAGAGGAGUGUCGUCAGCCUGCCCUUUCUCCCCGAGGCUUCUUCUGGACGUGGACCCUCUGCUCUCGACUAAACAUAUUUCUAAUGAGUAGUUUUGGGCAAUGGGACAAACUAAAAUGCCCAGGGCCAGUCAGUAUGGGGAAGGUGCUGGAAGGAUCUAAGCAGGUAAGAUAAGGGGCCUAACGGACUUUUGUAGAGUAAAACUCAAUUGUGAGGGAGCGCUAUGGCCAGUGGCCCAUUACAUCUCCUCUCU